rnacentral:tRNA from 1 species
GGGGUGGUAGCUCAAACGGAUAGAGUUGCACUCGUGGUGUAGGUUGCCGGUUCGAGCCCGGCCCGCCCCA